rnacentral:rRNA from 1 species
UAGGGAAUAUUGGUAAUCUGGGAAACCGGGAACCAGCAACGCCGCGUGCGUGAUGAAGGCCUUCGGGUUGUAAAGCGCUUUUUGAGAGGAUGAGGAAGGACAGUACUCUUAGAAUAAGCCUCGGCUAACUACGUGCCAGCAGCCGCGGUAAAACGUAGGAGGCGAGCGUUAUCCGGAUUUACUGGGCGUAAAGCGUGUGUAGGCGGUUUGAUAAGUUUGAUGUGAAAGCUCCUGGCUUAACUGGGAGAGGUCGUUCAAAACUAUCAGACUUGAGAGUGGUAGAGGGAGGUUGAAGUCCGCAUGUAGUGGUGAAAUGCGUAGAUAUGCGGAGGAACACCAGUGGCGAAAGCGGCCUCCUGGCCCAUUUCUGACGCUCAGACACUAAAGCUAAGGAAGCAAACG